AGAAGAUGUACAUGCGACGGGAUUAAAGCAAGAAACUUUGAACCCUAGCGCCCCACGAGACGCUCUUGCGACUCACGGGGCGACACCCCCGCCGCCACCCCUAACCCUUCUUCUCCGCGCCUCUCACUCCCUGCCGCUCCAUCUCCUCCUCUCUCCCCAUCCUCUCCCCUCGCAUCUCCCUCUGGCUCGCGCGGCGCAAUUACGGGAGCGGACGCAAGCUCCCCGACGGCAUGACUCCGGCGGUGGUGGCUCGUCCUGCGGCUGCGCAGGGGCUUGCGCAGGCAUGCGGUGGCUCGCGUGCGGCGGCACUGGCGCGCAGUGGGGCGUGCGGAUCUGCGGAGCCGUGAUUCCGGCAGCGGUGGCCCAAUCCGUGGCGGCACAGGCGCGAAAACGUGCGGCGCUGAGACACACGGUGGGCUUGCUGCUCCUCGGUGAGCCUGUACGGCGAACGCCGCUGCUUGUAGGUGCUGCGAUGUUGGUUGGACAGUGUGCUCUGCGGUAGGGCACUGCGGUUCUUCGGCCGGCCGGCCGGCGUUUCUGUGUUGCUGCUGUGAUGUUGCCUGCGCCCUAGGGGCUGCGGUGGGUGUGGUGGCCUCGAGGGUGCUCGGCCACCGGUGUGUUGGGUGGUUCAGGAGGUGGCUCAGGAGGCGUGCUUGGUGCGUGUUGGCCGGCUUAGCUGGCCUCACGCAGGUGGCUGACGCUCGAAGGGAGGCAGGCAUUGGCGUGUGGCCUGUUGGGGUCGUCGGUGCUGUGCAUCAGGUUUUGCGGCACGCUCGUUUGCAUCCCUCUGGUGGCACCAUGUGGCUUGCAGCUGGCGCUUGUCGGGCUCUAGCACGGGGGGUUGUUGUGUGCACUGGUACCUGAUCGCCGUUGGUCUGGUUUUGCCCGUGCACAGGCCGGUUGGGCCACGUGCCAAUGCCUCAUGGGGUUGGUACUGUGGCAACCAUGUGCACCUUGAUGCGCGGCGAGUGGUGGCCUCUUAUGGCAGUGUGGCAGGCUAUCUAGGUUCUCGGACUAGUACGGCUAUCGGCGGUGCUAGGACUUGGUUGCUGUUCCUUUGCGAGGUUGUUGCGGUUGCAUGAGUGUUGAUCGUGGCGCUCCGGGCGAAAGCCUUGCAACGACCGGUGCCGGCGACGGCGACGCUCUCGGUGUCUUUUCCUCCUUGGUGGCGUCGUCGAGGAGCUUUGAUCCACAUCCAUGCCUUGUAUUCUAUUUCUCCGGGUGAAAACCCAGAUUUUGCUUGCCAGAUCGGAAGACGGCGGCGUCGUUGAUGUCGCUCCCUUAUUGGAGGCGUUGUUUUUGGAGGGUAAACCCUUGGCUGGAGCGUGUUCCUGCGACAUACACCUUGGCUUUAGUGGCCGAGUCUUGGGCACGCUAACACCGUGAUAGUGUGUGACCUUGGGUGGUAAGGGUAGUGGCUAGCGGAGGAUCCCGUGCCGCGGCAUCUUGGUCUCAUGGUUGCACGCGAUGGGUAUCGACCGGCGGUGGUGGAUGUUCGUUGUGACCAGCAGGGGAGCGAUGAGCUAUGGUGGCGCAAUGUUCGAGACGAGCGCGGCGAUCGGCGGUCCGAGGCUUCUGCAGUUGACGAGACGCCUCAUGGGGUUGUCUUUGAGUUCUGCGAGGCCGGCGGGCCACGGCGCCUUCUUCGCUAUCUUGUACUUUUGUGUUUUUGGCAUUUAGGCUUGCGGUUGAUUGACGGCGUUGGUUGUAAUGAUAUUUGUGGCUGUUGAUUGUGUUCUUGUUUUGAGUGUUCGCUUGGGUUGGCCUGUUUUUGGGCUUGUAAAUACAUUUUUUCUAUCAAUGCAUCAAGACGCAAACUUUGCGUUUUCUCGAAAAAAGAAGAAGAUGUACAUGCGUGUUAUGGACAUUUCACAGUAUAUCAUGCAAGUUCUGCUAAGGUAAAGCAAUGGGAAAAAUGGCCAAAGUUGCAGUUAAAUUUAAAGGUCCAUGGUUCUACCUCACUCUGAUCCAAAAUACUGUAUGUGUAGGCCGUGGAUGUGCUAUGGCCUAUCUGGGUGCAGUACCUUGCAAAUGUUGGUUUCUAUGCACAUUAGUGCCCCAUUGGUUCAGAUAUUAUGUUUAUAGGAUAUACACUUCUUUCCCUUAAUUUCCAUUUUGUUAUUCUUUUCUUGGCUGCUUCACAUUAAGUUCCUUUUAUACACUAAGAUAGUCCAUAACUGGUCUCCAAUUAAGCUUGAUGUUGUCCUUUACAGUUUGCUAGUUCUUUGCUGCCUGCUGCAAUUGCUAGCUAACUGCCGGAUGUGUUGCAGGUGCUCCUGUUGCCCCAUCGUCGCAAUCCAUGUUGGGCUCCUUGACAGAUCAAGCUAAAACCUCUGAGGUCUCGUCAUGGACAAAUGCAGUACUUCAUUCAGUGGCCCUGAAUAUUCAUUGUCAGCAGGCACAGGUAAGCAUUUAAGUGAAGCAGGUUGUUAUACUGAGUGCGCUUGCCAGGAUCUCAAUGGACUAAAGGAUCCAAGGGAUGAACUGACAACUGUUGAGGAGGAUCCUGAUCCGAAAAGGAACGAUGUGGGGAAGCAAGUCUGAAUAUCGUUGACUGAAGUUGGAGCCAUGGCUCGCAAGUCGCAAUCGCAUGCCCGCUGGUGCUGUUGUGAACUUUUGUGGCGUCUGUUCUGGUUGAGGAGAGGAUCGAUGAACUACGGGGUGCUGUUGAGCAUUGGGGUGUUUCGUGUCUGCUGCUACGACUUACUCUCUGAUUAUGUUACCUACCAGAGGCUACGUGCAACUCAGUAUUGUGAUGUCCACUCUGUUCUUGAGUGUCUAAAUGUUAGUCCCUUCUCUCCGUUUCAUAAUUCUUGUCUCCAAUUUGUUUAAAAAUGGAUGUAUCUAUUUUUAAAUAGUGUCUAGAUACAUGUAAUAUUUCGACAAGAAUUAUGGAACGGAGAAAGCAUUAGUUAGUAGUUACUGUAUGGACUACGGAGUACUGCUCUCGUUAGAACCAUCUUUUACCGGUCCGAGUCCUGCA